GACGAACGCUGGCGGUGUGCUUAACACAUGCAAGUCGAACGGAAAGGCCCUGCUUUUGUGGGGUGCUCGAGUGGCGAACGGGUGAGUAACACGUGAGUAACCUGCCCUUGUCUUUGGGAUAACUUCAGGAAAGUGGGGUUAAUACCGGAUAGGAGCUCCUGCUGCAUGGUGGGGGUUGGAAAGUUUCGGCGGUUGGGGAUGGACUCGCGGCUUAUCAGCUUGUUGGUGGGGUAGUGGCGUACCAAAGCUUUGACGGGUCGCCGGCCUGAGAGGGUGACCGGCGACAUUGGGACUGAGAUACGGCCCAGACUCCAACGGGAGGCAGCAGUGGGGAAUCUUGCACAAUGAGCGGAGGCCUGAUGCAGCAGCGCCGCGUUCGGAAUGACGGCCUUCGGGUUGUAAACCGCUUUAGCCUGUGACGAAGCGUGAGUGACGGUAACGGGUAAAGAAGCACCGGCUAACUACGUG
rnacentral:rRNA from 1 species